rnacentral:rRNA from 1 species
GAUGAACGCUGGCGGCGUGCCUAAUACAUGCAAGUCGAGCGAACGGACGAGAAGCUUGCUUCUCUGAUGUUAGCGGCGGACGGGUGAGUAACACGUGGAUAACCUACCUAUAAGACUGGGAUAACUUCGGGAAACCGGAGCUAAUACCGGAUAAUAUUUUGAACCGCAUGGUUCAAAAGUGAAAGACGGUCUUGCUGUCACUUAUAGAUGGAUCCGCGCUGCAUUAGCUAGUUGGUAAGGUAACGGCUUACCAAGGCAACGAUGCAUAGCCGACCUGAGAGGGUGAUCGGCCACACUGGAACUGAGACACGGUCCUGACUCCUACGGGAGGCAGCAGUAGGGAAUCUUCCGCAAUGGGCGAAAGCCUGACGGAGCAACGCCGCGUGAGUGAUGAAGGUCUUCGGAUCGUAAAACUCUGUUAUUAGGGAAGAACAUAUGUGUAAGUAACUGUGCACAUCUUGACGGUACCUAAUCAGAAAGCCACGGCUAACUACGUGCCAGCAGCCGCGGUAAUACGUAGGUGGCAAGCGUUAUCCGGAAUUAUUGGGCGUAAAGCGCGCGUAGGCGGUUUUUUAAGUCUGAUGUGAAAGCCCACGGCUCAACCGUGGAGGGUCAUUGGAAACUGGAAAACUUGAGUGCAGAAGAGGAAAGUGGAAUUCCAUGUGUAGCGGUGAAAUGCGCAGAGAUAUGGAGGAACACCAGUGGCGAAGGCGACUUUCUGGUCUGUAACUGACGCUGAUGUGCGAAAGCGUGGGGAUCAAACAGGAUUAGAUACCCUGGUAGUCCACGCCGUAAACGAUGAGUGCUAAGUGUUAGGGGGUUUCCGCCCCUUAGUGCUGCAGCUAACGCAUUAAGCACUCCGCCUGGGGAGUACGACCGCAAGGUUGAAACUCAAAGGAAUUGACGGGGACCCGCACAAGCGGUGGAGCAUGUGGUUUAAUUCGAAGCAACGCGAAGAACCUUACCAAAUCUUGACAUCCUUUGACAACUCUAGAGAUAGAGCCUUCCCCUUCGGGGGACAAAGUGACAGGUGGUGCAUGGUUGUCGUCAGCUCGUGUCGUGAGAUGUUGGGUUAAGUCCCGCAACGAGCGCAACCCUUAAGCUUAGUUGCCAUCAUUAAGUUGGGCACUCUAAGUUGACUGCCGGUGACAAACCGGAGGAAGGUGGGGAUGACGUCAAAUCAUCAUGCCCCUUAUGAUUUGGGCUACACACGUGCUACAAUGGACAAUACAAAGGGCAGCGAAACCGCGAGGUCAAGCAAAUCCCAUAAAGUUGUUCUCAGUUCGGAUUGUAGUCUGCAACUCGACUACAUGAAGCUGGAAUCGCUAGUAAUCGUAGAUCAGCAUGCUACGGUGAAUACGUUCCCGGGUCU